GUUUUCGUAGUGGGGUGGUUAUCACUUGCGCUUCACACGUGCAAGGUCCCCAGUUCAAUCCUGGGCGGAAACA
rnacentral:tRNA from 1 species